AGGAAAAGAAACCAACAGGGAUUGCCCUAGUAACGGCGAGUGAAGCGGCAACAGCUCAAAUUUGAAAUCUGGCGCAAGCCCGAGUUGUAAUUUGUAGAGGAUGCUUCUAGGUAGCGACCGGUCUAAGUUCCUUGGAACAGGACGUCAUAGAGGGUGAGAAUCCCGUAUGUGACUGGCCCGCACCUUCUACGUAGCUCCUUCGACGAGUCGAGUUGUUUGGGAAUGCAGCUCUAAAUGGGAGGUAAAUUUCUUCUAAAGCUAAAUACCGGCCAGAGACCGAUAGCGCACAAGUAGAGUGAUCGAAAGAUGAAAAGCACUUUGGAAAGAGAGUUAAAAAGCACGUGAAAUUGUUGAAAGGGAAGCGCUCACAACCAGACUUCUAGGCAGUGUUCCGCCGGUCUUUUGACCGGUCUACUCUCUGUCUCGAGGCCAACAUCAUCUGGGACCGCCGGAUAAGACCUUAGGAAUGUAGCUCCCCUCGGGGAGUGUUAUAGCCUCUGGUGAUGCGGCGCGUCUCGGGUGAGGUCCGCGCUUCGGCAAGGAUGUUGGCGUAAUGGUUGUCAGCGGCCCGUCUUGAAACACGGACCAAGGAGUCUAACAUCUAUGCGAGUGUUCGGGUGUCAAACCCCUACGCGUAAUGAAAGUGAACGGAGGUGGGAAGCGUAAGCUGCACCAUCGACCGAUCCUGAUGUCCUCGGAUGGAUUUGAGUAAGAGCAUAGCUGUUGGGACCCGAAAGAUGGUGAACUAUGCCUGAAUAGGGUGAAGCCAGAGGAAACUCUGGUGGAGGCUCGCAGCGGUUCUGACGUGCAAAUCGAUCGUCAAAUUUGGGUAUAGGGGCGAAAGACUAAUC
rnacentral:rRNA from 1 species